UACGGAGGGGGCUAGCGUUGUUCGGAAUUACUGGGCGUAAAGCGCACGUAGGCGGCUUUGUAAGUUAGAGGUGAAAGCCCAGGCUUAACCCUGGAAUUGCCUUUAAGACUGCAUCGCUAGAAUCGUGGAGAGGUGAGUGGAAUUCCGAGUGUAGAGGUGAAAUUCGUAGAUAUUCGGAAGAACACCAGUGGCGAAGGCGACUCACUGGACACGUAUUGACGCUGAGGUGCGAAAGCGUGGGGAGCAAACAGG
rnacentral:rRNA from 1 species